UAUCUUAAGAAGCCGAAUUCCCGUUUCAACGGGAAGCGGGGGAACCGUCUUGGGUGAAUUGAUCUCGCAACAGAGGGGUCAUAGGCUAACCUUCAGCCGAACCCUUAAGCUAACCUCGCAGGCAUUGGAAGGAGCUUAU
rnacentral:sRNA from 2 species